UAACCUUCAUUUCUUCUUUGAGUGGCUCUGCAUAUUCCCACUUAUAGGACAGACAAAUAAGCAGUGCUAAAAACUAACCCAGAGGCAGGAACAGAAUCCCAGCUGAGCAGAGAUGUAGCACUGCCUUGCCAAAACCAAUGUUUGCCCUUGAGGCCAAAUCUAGACCAUGGUGCUUAGUGAAGGUAUGCACUGAAGUCCUGGAUGCAGCUCUGUAAAUUUCAGUGACUGGCACAUGCUAAAGACUGAUGAGGGAAGUAGCUAUAUCUCUAGUGGAAUGUGAUCAAAUUGCAGCAGUAGGGCCAGAGAGCGGCUUGAAGCACCGCAACAUCCCUUCAGACUUGAGACCUGGAGCUUCCCUUUAUGAGCAGGUAUGGGUAGACUUGGAUACCCCAGCACCUGAGGGCCCCGCCGUCGAAGGGCAGGUCCUGCAAUGACUGCUGGGCCUCGGUGGACAACUCAGAGAGGAGGAGCCAAGAGCCGUAGUGUGAGCAGCAGCAGCAGCAGCAGCUGACGCUGCCUUGAUGGCCACCCUGGCCACAGUCGUGCCUUCAUCAAGGAUCACUCGGAACUCCUUCUUGGAAGCCUCGGGGAGCGACCCUUCGAACUUGGCCAUGGCUUGCCACAUAUUGAAGUUAUAUCAGCCAAGGAGGGCUUGGCGGUUGGCCACUCUCAGCUGAAGACUUACG